GCUGGGUGGAUUAGUGGCGAACGGGUGAGUAACACGUGAGUAACCUGCCCUUGACUCUGGGAUAAGCCCGGGAAACUGGGUCUAAUACCGGAUAGGAGCGCCUGUCGCAUGACGGGUGUUGGAAAGAUUUUUCGGUCAUGGAUGGACUCGCGGCCUAUCAGCUUGUUGGUGAGGUAACGGCUCACCAAGGCGACGACGGGUAGCCGGCCUGAGAGGGUGACCGGCCACACUGGGACUGAGACACGGCCCAGACUCCUACGGGAGGCAGCAGUGGGGAAUAUUGCACAAUGGGCGGAAGCCUGAUGCAGCGACGCCGCGUGAGGGAUGACGGCCUUCGGGUUGUAAACCUCUUUCAGUAGGGAAGAAGCGAAAGUGACGGUACCUGCAGAAGAAGCACCGGCUAACUACGUGCCAGCAGCCGCGGUAAUACGUAGGGUGCGAGCGUUAUCCGGAAUUAUUGGGCGUAAAGAGCUCGUAGGCGGUUUGUCGCGUCUGUCGUGAAAGUCCGGGGCUUAACCCCGGAUCUGCGGUGGGUACGGGCAGACUAGAGUG
rnacentral:rRNA from 1 species